CAAAAGAAUAUGGACAGAUUUCUUAAAAGAAAAGCUCCAGAUGCUUCUGGACCAUGAACUUCAUCCUCAGGUAGCUAAAGCCUUUCGCCUCCACUGACUGCGCGCGCACCUCCACAAACGAACGAUGCGUUUAUACUUCACUUCAAAGAAUCAUAUACGAAUCAUAUAAAACCCAUUAACCCUUGAGAUCAUCACUUCAGACAUUACAGCACAGCUAUAACCACGAGAACAUGAUUAAAACGAAAUGGAUCAACCUCAAUUUAUUUUAUUUUAUUCGUUUCAUUAAGAUUUUUUUAAACAUGGACCUUCACUCGCAUUAAAUAGACUUAUUAUUAUUGAGCUAUCAUAGGCUCAUUUUGUAAAUGUUAGCAAUAACUGUAAACAAAAAGUGGGAGCUUCCUGCAGAUGUCAUUUCUCACGUUUACAAAAUCAGGUGUCAUUAUGUUCGCCCAUCAGUGUAAACGUCUCUACGUAUAAAGACAGAAGAAUGAGGUUUAAUCACUGUCUGAUGGAGUAGUGUAGUGACUGUGUUUAUUUGUGAAGAUUGAAAACAUGGUGCACUCCAGAAAACUUUCCGCUUUGGCUUUAUUCUUUCAGCAGUAUGUACAAAGCAAAUCGAAAUGACUAUUUUUAAAAAAGCUUUCCAUGUUUUUUUUUUGCCAUCUGGAUAUCUCUAUGGUCCCUCAUAGAUGAAUCAUAACGAUGCCUGUACAAUCGGACCUUUCAGCAAGAGUCAACUCCAAGUCACUCACUUCAUAGCCGUGCGAACUGGCACGGAACGCCUGCACUCCAGCUCGACCUGCCCACCGCAGUGACGUCAAUUUAUCCGCACUGUGACUUGCGCUAUUGCGGACGCGUCGAGUAAUAGCCCAGGUUUAACGCUAACGGUUUCUUUCAAAAUGUUCAAACGGUGCUGUGACUGAAAAAGGCUGGGAAACACUGUUCUAUGACAGGCUUUUUGCUUCUCUUUUCUUUGCUCGGCGGUAAUCAGCGCUACAGUAGCUACAGAAAUGUCUCCAGCCGGCUGUUUUAUUUGGCUCUUUAUUCUUUUACUCCUGGGACGCCGCGGCGUUCUAACUUUGCAGAAUUGCUCUGAGCUGCACAACAUCACCUGUGAUCGCAUGGGUAAUGCCAUGUUGAACACUAGUGAGAUUUACCUGAUGAGGAACGACUGCAUGUGGAGUUUUAGAGACACGGAGGAUAAAGUUCUUGAACUACUAACACCAUCUCCAAAUGUGUCUGUCCAAUGUACCUUGCAUGAAAUUCGCUUGAAGGUGCACUGUAUCACCCCAAAGUAUGAGUAUUGGGCUUGCUACAAUCUUACUAAUCAAACUAACAGUCAAACCGGUGCGCCAAGUCCUCAUGGAACAUCCAAGCAUAGAGUGCGUGAGUUGGUGAUCAUAGCUGUGGCUCUGUUUCUGAUGGCGCUGGUUGGUCUUGUCAUUGUUUCAAAAAAGGACAAAAAGGCUACUGUUAAAACAUACCUGGCCACUGCCCAGAGACCCUAUCCCAGAGUGCUAAUCAACAACGUCCAAUGGAUCCAUGUUCCAGUCUUAGUGAAUCUGACGGUGUGGUCUCCAGAUUUGGAUGAACGGUGUCAGGGUUAGGGUCUAACCCUAGGUAUAAAGACCUCUCGCCAACAGCAUUCUUGACGUAUCAUGGUGCUAUAGCAACGAGCUUAUCCACAGACCACCGAACAGAAGAUCUACAAGUAAGUCAUCCCAGGAAAACUACCUUCAGGCAGAUGUUAUUCGGGUUUGUGGAGAGGGUACUUGGAGUCAUCUGGAAGAAUCUGGGAAUAUCCAGUAGGAUUAGUGCCCAAGAACUCUGCAAGAAUGAACUCAAGCUUAAGGCCUUAGUGGGGCUGCAGGUUUUCAAACAGUAGAUUAUCUACAUGAGGGACUACAGGAAGAUGAAGUGACUGUACAGGAUGGUCACACCACCCCAUCUGCCCAAUCUUUC
ensembl:lncRNA